ACACUACGCGUUUUCGGAGUGGAGGUGCUACGCGGUGUCCAGGAAGCUUCCUCCUGCAUUAGGAGGUCUAUACAUGCUGUUAUCUUUGCUGGACUUUCCUCCCAUCUCUUCAUCUAGAAGAUGAUGACGUUCUCCAAGCAUUUCAACCAGUGGUCUGGAACCCAGCCUGCACUAUCUCCAAGCUGGAACUCACAUCACAGCUGCCCUAUUUACUUACCUACCGGCUGCAUUCCUUAGAACCAGUUUUUUUCCUGUUCAAAUGGAAACCAGGCAGAAUUGGGAAAAUAUUUCUUCAGCCAGCUCCUCAGCACUGCUGUCUGAGGGAGACCAUCUGAC